AUCCAUCUGACGAGUCCCGAAUGGGACGAGACACUUGUCGUGGAU
rfam:Schistosoma curassoni strain Dakar, Senegal genome assembly, scaffold: SCTD_scaffold0007434